rnacentral:ncRNA from 1 species
CUGACUAAGACGCAUGGGUCGACGUUCGUGCAACGAGCCCUUUCCCUCUGCUGCAACAUGAGCAGCAGGUGGAUGCGCCAUUGUCAG